rnacentral:rRNA from 1 species
UACGAAGGGGGCUAGCGUUGUUCGGAAUUACUGGGCGUAAAGCGCGCGCAGGCGGUUCUUCAAGUCAGAGGUGAAAGCCCAGAGCUCAACUCUGGAAUGGCCUUUGAGACUAGAGAACUAGGGUACGGGAGAGGUGAGUGGAAUUCCGAGUGUAGAGGUGAAAUUCGUAGAUAUUCGCAAGAACACCAGUGGCGAAGGCGGCUCACUGGCCCGAUACUGACGCUGAGGCACGAAAGCGUGGGGAGCAAACAGG